CUGCAGCUAAUUAAGCCGACUGAGUUCCUUUACUUGUGGUGGCCCAGUGUGCAAUGGCUGCAAACAGCAAUCUCCUCGGUAGUGUAUGCAGCCUGUUUCUCAUAUGGGUUGCCCUAAGGGACCUUGGAGACAGCA
rnacentral:snoRNA from 1 species